rnacentral:rRNA from 1 species
UGGGGAAUCUUGCGCAAUGCGCGAAAGCGUGACGCAGCAACGCCGCGUGGGGGAAGAAGGCUUUCGGGUUGUAAACCCCUUUCAGUUGGGACGAAGCUUCGCCGGUGAAUAGCCGGCCGGAGUGACGGUACCUUCACAAGAAGCACCGGCUAACUACGUGCCAGCAGCCGCGGUAAUACGUAGGGUGCAAGCGUUGUCCGGAAUCAUUGGGCGUAAAGAGCGUGUAGGCGGCCCGAUUAGUCCGCUGUGAAAGUCCAGGGCUCAACCCUGGAAUGCCGGUGGAUACUGUCGGGCUAGAGUCCGGAAGGGGCGAGUGGAAUUCCUGGUGUAGCGGUGAAAUGCGCAGAUAUCAGGAGGAACACCAAUGGCGAAGGCAGCUCGCUGGGACGUGACUGACGCUGAGACGCGAAAGCGUGGGGAGCAAACAGGAUUAGAUACCCCCGUAGUCC